rnacentral:misc_RNA from 1 species
AAGUCGUAACAAGGUUUCCGUAGGUGAACCUGCGGAAGGAUCAUUACCUUUCAAUGCAGCAGAAUUGGGAUGGUUGAGUUUCUCGCCUCUCUUUUCUGCCUGUAUUCUACCCUUGUUUGUCAUAUACUAUUAUUUCCUCGGCAGGCAAGCCUGCCGAGUGAAACCAAUUACAACCUAUUUAAUUUUCAAUCAGCGUCUGAAAAAAAUUAAUAAUUACAACUUUCAACAACGGAUCUCUUGGUUCUG